CAAACGUGAUACAAUGGCUGAACAAAGGGCAGCGAAGGAGCGAUCUGGAGCGAACCCAAAAAAGCAGUCUCAGUUCGGAUUGAAGUCUGCAACUCGACUUCAUGAAGUCGGAAUCGCUAGUAAUCGCGGAUCAGAACGCCGCGGUCGAAUACGUUCCGUCCGGGUUU
rnacentral:rRNA from 1 species